rfam:Lupinus angustifolius cultivar Tanjil contig_18124, whole genome shotgun sequence.
GUUGGGCAUGUGAUGAAUCUGAUAUUGUAAAUGGGUAAUUUGCAUCUGAAUUACUUUGAUGUUACAUCACCUUGGAGAACUGAUGCCCACG